UUUAUUCCGACACUUCGAAGGUAUCGACGCUGAUAUAAAAUGAAGUUGAUAUUACCCCUACUUCUAACGAUUCUUAUGUGGGGUUUUGCAUUGGCAACAACUCCAUCCUGUGAAUGCCCGUUAGACCACGAUCCUGUGUGCGGUUCAGAUGGCGUUGUCUACAACAACGUGAAGUGCAUGAUGUGUAAACCGAAUGUAACAAAAGUGAAAAAUGGCCAUUGUUAAUGAAUGUAAUAUACAAUAAAAUCAUACUUUCUUCACUCACCUA